ensembl:lncRNA
CUCGCUCAGCAGAUAACUGGUAAAAAAAAAAACUUGCUGGAUCGUCAGCGUUUUCUCUCCAUGUCAGCGGCGAUAAGGAGGCAUCAGUGCUUCAGGGUUGAGGUGUCACCUGCUGAGGGAAACUCGCUCUGCUGUCACCUGCUGCCAGCCUUCCCCCAUCACCCCUCACCGGGUCGCCGUCUCCACCGGCAGGGGGGGGGGGGCAGAGCCCGUGGCUGAUGGUUUUAUCUCAGCAGGAAGUGGCCAAAGGGAGGCCUGGCUGCGGGACUCGGAACUGAUUGGUCGGAGCCGGAGUCGGCUUAGUGGCUGAUGAAGCCGAGCACGGCUGUUUCUAAAGUGCUUUUUACUGGGACGGAUACCUCCUCCUCCUGCCUGAGGUGAGAGACCUCCUCCUGCAUGAGGUGAGAGACCUCCUCCUGCCUGAGGUGAGAGACCUCCUCCUGCCUGAGGUGAGAGACCUCCUCCUGCCUGAGAAAGAAGACUUGCUCCUCCAGGAGUCUGUGACCUUACUGGACAGCUCAGCCUGCUAGCCGCCGGUUAGCUUCAACCUUGAAGACAUUUCAUGAGCUUCCUGAGGAAAACAUUGGGCACCAGGAGAAUGAAAUGUUUCUCGGGGUCACGGGGUCAGAGGUGAGCGUGGGCUGCAGGACACCGUCGGCCAGCUGCCGUCUUCCUUUUUAUCCGUUCACAAUUAUCACAUUUGGCAGCUGAGCAGCCGCUGUCUUUUGGCUCAUGUCGGCAGUUUUCCGUCAUUCGUCUUCUGCUCGGGAAGAGAGACUGAGGAGGAAACGAGACAGAGGACGUUGGAGUCAGGACGGGAAUCCAUCAGCAUGACGGGAAGAGGAGAAGGGGAACAAAAGCCAGCGAGCGCAAUUAUAACACGUUGAUAAUAUAAGUAUACUUCUGUUUCAUGCUUCUAGUUCAUUGUUUAUCCAGAAGACUUGACGCACUUUGUAGAACAAGUUGGCAUCAGUGGCAUUUUUUGUACAAUAUUUUUAUUUUAGAUAAAUGUGUAAAAUAUCACAUGAAAAAGUUGGCUAAAUAGAUUUCCAGUGUUCCUGCCAGCAGGUCCUGACUUACAAUGAGUUUGAGCUCCUUUUCAAUAAAACCUUGUAGGUAUUAAAAGAUAUAUUUUGAUACGAGGACGGAGAUGAAAAGUGAAUUUCUGAUUUCCAACACGAGGCUCAUCUGGACCUGUUGGCCGUCUGCAGGGCUCCAAGGUCCAGAACAAUCUGCCACAACAUGAGGAGCGUGGGCUGGAUUCUAAUCCCCCCUCUCCUUGAGCUGAGGUUGCCCCCCCCACUCAUGUGGCAGGGGGGGGGCAACCUCAGCCGGCGGGUCUCAUCCACAAUAUU